CUGCGGCCUGCUCCCCACCUCCUGGGCCAGAGCUGCCCCCCCUCCAUUCUGGCUCCUUCGAGUGUCUGGGACAGUGUGACAGGCAAGUGGAAUGGAGGGGAGGGACGAGUUCACUGCUCAGAGGGGGAAAUCGAGGCACAAAGCUGUUGAGUUAUGUCCCCAGGCGACACGGCCACUUCGGGACCAGGUCUGAAACCCAUAGCUGGUCCCUCGACUCUUCGUCAGCUCAGAGCCCGACUGGCCAUGGAAAGAGACGACUCAGCUUAUGUUCCCAACUGCCAGUGACCGAGGGGUGGCAUCGGCAGCACACACACGGGACUGCGAGGGCACUGGCUGGGACGCAGAUGUGGGAAACAAGGCACAGAGAGGGGCAGGCAUUCCUUCAAGUAACACAGCAGCUGAUGGAUGCACAGCAAACAACUGGAUGUCUUGGCUCCUCCCCAGGCUGCAGGGGGUGAAGGAAGGGGGUGUUGGGGAGCUGAGACCUGGGGCCUCCCCGUCCUAGGCCAAGCUGCGACCUUGGCCAGCUCGUGGUCUCCCGGCCCCCGCCCAGGGCCUCUCUGCCCCCCGACCACAGCUGGACCCGAGGAUCAGGCAGAUCAGCAGGGACGGGGGCUCCCUCCCCUCCGGCCUCUGCCCUCUCCCCCCCGCCAGAAGCCCCAAACCACGGGACCCCCGGGGCACCCCGACCGCGGUGCAGUGGAGAAGGUGGCCCCUCCCAGCUUCGCGUUUCCGAGUCCUGACCCACACACCUUGGCCCCACGGGGACUGAGGCGGCCGUGGGGAAGCGGGGCUGCAGAGGCUCCAGGUGGCGGGCGGCCGGAUGGAAAGGCAAAUCCAUACAAAGGAAAUGAGAAACGGAGUCGGGAACACGGGGACCCUGGGAAACAGACCCCACGGGGGCCUCUGAGUCAGUGAGAUGUCUCCCUCAGGGAAAGGUGGCACCACCCAGCGCAUGGUCAUCACGGGAGGAAGCAGUUUCUCCCGUCAUGCACAGCAACAGCUGCCAGAGUCGGGGGGCUCUGCCCUGGUCCCUCCCACACCCCCUCCUCCACAGCAGGAUUCUGUCUGAGGGGGGAGUAAACUAAGCAUGAACCUAGGAAUGAAUCUGAGUCUCUUUUGUUAGCUGUGUGACCUGGGGAAGUAACUUAACCUCUCUGAGUGGAAUAAGGGCAGCUGUAUGCCUGACAUAUAGUAGGUAUUCAUUAAAAUAGCCAUACUCUUCCUUUGUUUCCCCUUGAGAGGAAACUUCUGCUGCUCG
rnacentral:lncRNA from 1 species